ACAACAAAUAAUUUCAAAUUGUUAUAUUCAAGGAAAGACAAACAUUUCAAUCCGGAUCUGGGUCAUUUUCAAUGUCUCACAUUACAAUAACAAAUUAAAUAUCAUUAAAUAUCAAAAGAGAUCGCAAACAUAGGGCAAAAUCAAAUCAAGCAAAAAUAGAUGGUCAUUUUAGUGUGUUACAAAAAACGCAAAAUCGCAGAAAGAAUGGUGACAUGAUGAGACGCACGCAUAAUUAUGAUUAGUAAAUGAAAAUCUAAAUUUAACUCUCGCAAAAACGACAGAAUAACAUGUCGCUUAUGAUAUCGAAGAGUGAAGAAAGCGUGAAGAACGCGUGGUUGCAAAAAAAGGGGGUAAAACGGACAAUCACGUGAGGGAAGCUUGUACAGAUGAACCUCUAGCAUGAUGGAGAAGCAUAACGGUCCAAAUAUGUAGCUCCAAAUAUUACAUGGUGAAAAAACAAAUGUCCAAAAGAAUGAACGUAAUAAAAAAUGUCCUAAAGAUAAAAGAUGAUAUAUGGGAAAGUCGGGAAAGGGUUAAAAAUAACAGGGAUUCAGAAAGAGCGAACUGACUCCGACGACAUAUCUGUGAUGACUCAAUCUUAAAAUUGACAAUUGCAAACGAACAUAUCUGUGAUGACUCAAUCUUAAAAUUGACAAUUGCAAACGAACAUUUGAUUGUCAAGGAUUGUUAAGAGGAGAAGAACAGUUGAGUCGAGAGAUAGCUGUCAAGCUAUCUGGACGCGUUUUCAUAUACGAGUCAUUAUUGCAUUAUUAAUCCGUUGUGUUAUUAAUUUGUUGUUCGUAUGUGUUCGCAUUAAAGUUCCUAUGUGUUUUCUAAAAGUGUUUAUUUAUUUAACGCGAUCCGCGACAGCCGUUCUCUUUGGUGCGCGUCUUCGCUAUAUCUCGAAGUCCUCGACUCGGAUCUAACAAUAUAUAUAUAUAUAUAUAUAAAUUAAUAUCAGUUCGCGAUUAGUACAUAAGAAUUAGUAGAGUGAAAAAAACAACUAACUAUUGAUAUAUGAUUCAACGGGAACCUAUUGAGUACAAAUAUUUACGAAAAAUGCAAAUUACGUUUGGAAUAAUUUUAUGUAUUUUAUGUAUUUUAUUGAAAGGUUUAGUACUAACAAAGGCAAUUAUCACUUUUGUACCGAAGGAUUAUACUCCUUCAAACAGUCUUCAGGAAGAAAGUGAUUCCAUAUGUCCGGAUUUAAAUUCCACGCAGGAUAUUUUAAUGUUCGAAAAAAAUGAUCAUCGAAAUUUGAAAUCUGAUCGGAGUUAUUCUGAUAGUAUGACUGUAAGAAAGAAGCGAGAAGUCAAUGUGGUUCCACUAGCAAGUAAUUCUACGAUCCUAAAAUCUAUCGAAAACAGUUUGAGCAAGCCAACAUCUCUCAGAGCAUUUGUAGAAUUCGACAGGAAAUUCGCAAAAAAAAUAAACGACAUUUUUGUGACAUUGAGAUGGAACCAACCUGAAUUUAUCGAUGAAAUAAUACAAGGGUACACAGUGCAAUGUUUUUUCAUCGAGGACUUAAAAGACAUUCAAAUCUGCGAUGAUAAAAAUAUCACAACUACAAAAUUGGAGCACACGGUGCACAAUCUAACAUCUAACAUGACAUAUUAUUUUCGAGUACGUGCACAUUCUAAAAUUGUUGCUGGUCCUUAUACGGAUUUAAUCAAUGUGUCGACUACACAUGAAAAUCCAAUACCGAAAUUAUUAGUCACAUCGAGUAAAGGUAUCUACAUAUUGGACGUGGAUUUAAACAUUACUAAUUUCGUAACGUCAGGAACAGCAAAAUGUGCCGCUUAUUCGAUACAGGAAGGUAGAAUUUAUUGGAUAACAUCAAAAGACCUAAUGACAAUGAAGAUUUAUGAAAAUAAUAUCACAAAAAUAGCUACCUUUGAUCAUUAUCUACAUAAUCUUUGCAUUGACUGGGUAGCAAGAAAUCUAUAUAUAACCUAUUACAUCAAAGUCUACUUUUAUAUUAUAAAGUUCGAUUUAACAAUGUGGGAAAAUGGCAUAAUUAAAUUUGAUGAGAUUUUCAAAUCAGAUACUUAUAUUCACCAUUUAAGUGUAUCACCGUCUAUGGGAAUUUUAUAUCACGUAUCGUAUCAUCACACUUCGAGGCAUUCAUAUAGAAUGAUAAAAUAUCAUCUCGAUGAAAAAAUUAACCUAAUUGUUCCAAUAAAAACCUUUUGUCUAUAUCGUUAUAAACCAGAUCUUUUUCGUGAUAUGAAAAUUGAUAACAUGAAUAAUGAGGGGCUGUUAAUUUGCUGGUUAAGUAAGAGUUACAUAAUUGUAACAGACGUUAACAUUUCUAUGUGCAAUGCGAUUUUACACACGAAAUAUUUAAGUGAUAUCCGUUUCCAAUCUAUAACAAUUGACAAAACAAACAUUUACAUUUUAGCAUAUAAAGUCCAUACAUAUAAUGCUAAAUAUAUCUAUGUUUUGAAAAAGAAAUAUGCAAGUCUCACGAGCAUAAAUGCAACCAAAAAUGUUGAAAAGAUAAUUUCAUAUACUAAUGAGUCUUAUCAAAUUUAUGCUAUUGAUAAAUCUUUACAACCAUAUCCUCCAAUGAGAUGUCUGACACCUCACGAAAAAGUUUACAAUUUUGAGAAUGUGAAUGCAACGGCAAACAACAUCCUUGUGACUCUUCAAAAGCCGAUUGUAAAGCGUGGAUGCAAAAAAUAUAAUUUACCAACUACUAUAUACACUAUCUCUGUAAGCUGUUUAGACAACAAUCUCAACAAGUUUGUGAAAUUCAAUGUGCAGACGUUCAAGAGAGUUUACCGGAUUUGGAACUUAACACCCUUUACAGAGUACAAGUUGAAGUUUACUUUAAGCAAUUUUUACUUUGAUCAAUUACCAAUAAAUCCAUUUGAUUCGAAUGUGAUACAAAUAAAAACUAAUUCGGGCAAGCUUAAUGCACCAGAAAACAUAAGUGUUCUAGCUUUGACGCCUACUAUAGCAGUAGUUCAUUGGAUGCCACUUAAGAAAGUGAACUGCGUGGCCGUGACCUACGAAGUACAUUGGAAGUCAGAUACAUUAGUGAACGGCAUGCAACAAAAGGGCAAACAAUUUAUUAAAAUGCCGAAACCUACGGCCGAUGGCAGAUUUUUCACAAAGAUUAACUUAUCGCUACCAGUACAAGAUUACUUGAUAUACGUGCGUGUGUAUCCUAAUAAUUUCAGCGAUUUCUAUAACGAGAGUUUAGGCAAAAUCGAUCACAUAUACUCAGAACCAAACGAUAUUACUUUGAGCAAGGUCGAAAUAAAUAGCAUAGACAUUUCAUGGAUCCCGAACAUCCAUUUGACGGUCUCUCCUACACUAGAGUACAAAGAGAAUGCAACAGAAAAGUGGCAAACAAUGAAUUAUGUUAAAAUGAAUUAUAACAAACAAAUAAUAUACCAUAUCGGAAAUUUACAAUCGAAAACUUUAUACAAGUUUCGUUUGGUAUUGAGAUAUCCUGAAUAUGAAGAAAAUUUUACAUGGCCGGCUGAUGAAAGAUUUAUGUUUUCAACACUUGAUAUUCGGAGCACUCCAGGAAUAAUAGCGAAAGAAUUUUACUUAUUACUGAUGUUAAGUUUUAUCGUCAUAGUUACUAUAAUCUGCCUCUGCUACAUUUAUUGUUUGUAUCGUCAACACAGAGAUAAUAAUGAACAAUUUUUGUCUUCAACAAUGACUGAUGUAGAAUUGGCCAUUCUACGUGAACCUUACCAAUACAGUGAAUACAAUACGAUUUACAGUCCUAUGUUACAUUAUAAGCCGGAUGAAUGUGUGAUAAAAAAAAUCGCACGUAAAGAAAUUAAAUUUACAAAACUUAUUGGUAGCGGCGCAUUCGGAAUGGUGUAUCAAGGAAAGGUGAAGAACUUAGAAGGUUCGGGCACAGAGAUAUCCGUUGCAAUAAAAACGCUUCGAAAAGAUGCUUCUUCCGAUGAGAAAAGGAAAUUGUUAAAGGAAGCCAAGCUUAUGAAUCAUUUUCAACACAAACAUAUAUUAAGAUUGUUGGGUGUUUGUUUAGAUGGGAUUUCUCCGUUUCUAGUGUUGGAAUUGAUGGAAACUGGAUUUGCUCGCCAUGUGCGAAGAUGUUGCGCGAGGUUGUCGCUACUUGGAAGAGUUGCGUUUCGUACAUAGGGAUCUAGCGUGUCGGAAUUGUUUAGUAUCUUCGAGAAAUCGGGAGAUUCGUGUCAUCAAAAUUGGAGAUUUUGGACUAACUAGAGAUAUCUACAAAGAUGAUUAUUAUCGCGUGAAAGGAGAAGAUUUGCUCCCUGUUCGCUGGAUGGCACCCGAAUCUUGGAUGCUCAGAAUAUUUACUUCUCAAAGCGAUGUUUGGUCAUUUGGGGUAUUAAUGUGGGAAAUUACAUCAUUGGGUGAGAGACCUUAUAUGGACAAGACUGAUAAAGAAGUGAUAAAUUAUGUACGUGUUG
rnacentral:misc_RNA from 1 species